rnacentral:tRNA from 1 species
GGGCGCGUAGCUCAGCGGGAGAGCACACCCUUCACACGGGUGUGGUCGCAGGUUCAAUCCCUGCCGCGCCCACCA